rnacentral:rRNA from 1 species
UACGUAGGGUGCGAGCGUUGUCCGGAAUUAUUGGGCGUAAAGGGCUCGUAGGCGGUCUGUCGCGUCCGCUGUGAAAUCCCGGGGCUCAACCCCGGGCCUGCAGUGGAUACGGGCUGGCUAGAGGCAGGCAGGGGAGAACGGAAUUCCUGGUGUAGCGGUGAAAUGCGCAGAUAUCAGGAGGAACACCGGUGGCGAAGGCGGUUCUCUGGGCCUGUACUGACGCUGAGGAGCGAAAGCGUGGGGAGCGAACAGG